GAUGAACGCUGGCGGCGUGCCUAAUACAUGCAAGUCGAGCGAACAGACGAGGAGCUUGCUCCUCUGACGUUAGCGGCGGACGGGUGAGUAACACGUGGAUAACCUACCUAUAAGACUGGGAUAACUUCGGGAAACCGGAGCUAAUACCGGAUAAUAUAUUGAACCGCAUGGUUCAAUAGUGAAAGACGGUUUUGCUGUAACUUAUAGAUGGAUCCGCGCCGCAUUGGCUAGUUGGUAAGUUAACGGCUUACCAAGGCAACGAGGCGUAGCCGACCUGAGGGAGGGAUCGGCCACCCUGGAACGUAAACACGGUCCAUACUCCUACGGGAGGCAGCAGUAGGGAAUCUUCCGCAAUGGGCGAAAGCUUGACGGAGCAACGCCGCGUGAGUGAUGAAGGUCUUCGGAUCGUAAAACUCUGUUAUUAGGGAAGAACAAAUGUGUAAGUAACUAUGCACGUCUUGACGGUACCUAAUCAGAAAGCCACGGCUAACUACGUG
rnacentral:rRNA from 1 species